UAGCGGUGAAAUUCCAAUCGAACUCGGAGAUAGCUGGUUCUCCCCGAAAUAGCUUUAGGGCUAGCGUUGGCUUAGAUUACCGGAGGUAAAGCACUGAAUGGGCUAGGGGCCGAUAAGGUUACUGAACCCUAUCAAACUCUGAAUGCCGGAUAAUUGAUGGCCAGCAGUCAGUCUACGUGAGAUAAGUCUCGUGGACAAAAGGGAAACAGCCCAGACCCACAGCUAAGGUCCCAAAGAUACGCUAAGUGGAAAACGAUGUGGAGUUGCGAAAACAACCAGGAUGUUGGCUUAGAAGCAGCCACUCAUUAAAAGAGUGCGUAAUAGCUCACUGGUCGAGUGACUCUGCGCGGAAAAUAUAACGGGGCUAAGCGUAACACCGAAGCUUGGGCUGCACAGCAAUGUGCGGGGUAGGGGAGCGUCGAAUAUGGGGUGAAGUCGCAGCGGAAGCAGCGGUGGACUGUAUUCGAGUGAGAAUGCCGGAAUGAGUAGCGAGAAUUAUGUGGGAAUCAUAAUGGCCGAAAAUCUAAGGUUUCCUGGGGAAGGUUCGUCCGCCCAGGGUAAGCCGGGAGCUAAGGCGAGGCCGAAAGGCGUAGUCGAUGCACAUACGGUUGAAAUUCCGUAGCCACCGAACCUUAAGUACACUGACACAUAGAGAUAGCGGGACCCGGGCGUUGGUUGACCCGGGCGUAAGGGACCGAACUUUAGUAGGGAAGUCCGCGAUGCUCUGUGGCGAGAAAAGGUGUAUGGUAUGCUAAGGUGCCCGUACCGCAAACCGACACAGGUAGAUGAGGAGAGAAUCCUAAGGCCAACGGGAGAAGGGUUGUUAAGGAACUCGGCAAAAUGACCCCGUAACUUCGGGAUAAGGGGAGCCUCCUACGGGAGGCCGCAGCGAAUAGGCCCAAGCGACUGUUUACCAAAAACACAGGUCUCUGCUAAAUCGAAAGAUGACGUAUAGGGGCUGACGCCUGCCCGGUGCUGGAAGGUUAAGAGGAGAUGUUAGCCGCAAGGCGAAGCAUUGAAUCGAAGCCCCAGUAAACGGCGGCCGUAACUAUAACGGUCCUAAGGUAGCGAAAUUCCUUGUCAGGUAAGUUCUGACCCGCACGAAUGGCGUAACGACUUGGGCGCUGUCUCAACAGCCCACCCGGCGAAAUUGUUGUACUGGUGAAGAAGCCAGUUACCCGCAACUAGACGGAAAGACCCCAUGGAGCUUUACUGCAGCUUAAUACUGGAAAUCGGUAAAUCAUGUACAGGAUAGGUGGGAGACUUGGAAGCCAGGGCGUCAGCUUUGGUGGAGUCACCCUUGGGAUACCACCCUUGAUUUGCUGGUUUUCUAACCUGCGGCCGUGAAUCCGGUCGGGGGACACUGUUAGGUGGGCAGUUUGACUGGGGCGGUCGCCUCCUAAAAGGUAACGGAGGCGCUCAAAGGUUGGCUCAGCACGGACGGAAAUCGUGCAGUGAGUGUAAACGUAUAAGCCAGCCUAACUGCGAGACCGACGGGUCGAGCAGUAACGAAAGUUGGAGUUAGUGAUCCGGCGGUAUGCAAGUGGAAGUGCCGUCGCUCAACGGAUAAAAGCUACCCUGGGGAUAACAGGCUGAUCUCCCCC
rnacentral:rRNA from 1 species